rnacentral:rRNA from 2 species
UCCUACGGGAGGCAGCAGCGGGGAAUUUUGCACAAUGGGGGAAACCCUGAUGCAGCAACGCCGCGUGAGCGAUGAAGGUCUUCGGAUUGUAAAGCUCUGUCUUCGCUGACGAUAAUGACGGUAAGCGAGGAGGAAGCCACGGCUAACUACGUGCCAGCAAGCCGCGGUAAUA